rnacentral:rRNA from 3 species
UACGUAGGAUCCAAGCGUUGUCCGGAUUUACUGGGUGUAAAGGGUGCGCAGGCGGACUUGUUAGUCAGAGGUGAAAUCUCACUGCUCAACAGUGAAACUGCCUUUGAUACUGCAGGUCUUGAAUCCAGAAGAGAGUUGUGGAAUUCCGAGUGUAGCAGUGAAAUGUGUAGAUAUUCGGAAGAACACCAGCGGCGAAGGCAGCAACUUGGUCUGGUAUUGACGCUCAGGCACGAAAGCAUGGGGAUCAAACAGG